rnacentral:rRNA from 1 species
GACGUAGGGCGCGAGCGUUGUCCGGAUUUAUUGGGCGUAAAGAGCUCGUAGGCGGCUUGUCGCGUCGUCCGUGAAAACCUGCAGCUCAACUGCAGGCUUGCGGUCGAUACGGGCAGGCUAGAGUUCGGUAGGGGAGACUGGAAUUCCUGGUGUAGCGGUGAAAUGCGCAGAUAUCAGGAGGAACACCGGUGGCGAAGGCGGGUCUCUGGGCCUGUUCUGACGCUGAGGCGCGAAAGCUAGGGGAGCAAACAGG